UACGGAGGGUGCGAGCGUUGUCCGGAAUCACUGGGCGUAAAGGGCGCGUAGGCGGCCUGAUAAGUAGGGGGUGAAAUCCUGCGGCUUAACCGCAGGGCUGCCUUCUAAACUGUCGGGCUCGAGCACGGUAGAGGCAGAUGGAAUUCCCGGUGUAGCGGUGGAAUGCGUAGAGAUCGGGAAGAACACCUGUGGCGAAAGCGGACGCACUGGACCAUAACUGACGCUGAUGCGCGAAAGCUAGGGGAGCAAACAGG
rnacentral:rRNA from 1 species